UACGUAGGGUGCGAGCGUUAAUCGGAAUUACUGGGCGUAAAGCGUGCGUAGGCGGUUCGUUAUGUCUGCUGUGAAAGCCCCGGGCUUAACCUGGGAAUGGCAGUGGAAACUGGCGGGCUUGAGUGUGGCAGAGGGGGUGGAAUUCCGCGUGUAGCAGUGAAAUGCGUAGAGAUGCGGAGGAACACCGAUGGCGAAGGCAGCCCCCUGGGCUGACACUGACGCUGAGGCACGAAAGCGUGGGGAGCAAACAGG
rnacentral:rRNA from 1 species